UGGUGCCCCAAUGUGGGACUUGAGAAUGGGGGACUUCGUAAGGGACACUGUUCGUGGGCCCAAAGUAGAAAAAGGAAAAGAAAAUAGAGGACCAACGUGCGAGCCUGCCACACCGCAGAACCUCUCUGGUAAGUGAACAGUGAUUAUGGGACAAGAAAUUAGUAUGAGAUUUUUGUUGAAAAUGUAGUAAAACUUUUAAAGGUGCAAGGAGUAAAGGUGAAUAUUGAAGAAUUAUGCCAAUACUUUGAUUUUAUAAAAGAGGUUUGCCCUU
rfam:Cavia porcellus supercont2_18 genomic scaffold, whole genome shotgun sequence.